ACCUGCGGAGGAUCAUUACAAGUGAGGCUACCGAACGUUGGAAACAGCGAUUAGGAGCUUACACCCACCCGUGUUUACAUACUAUUGUUGCUUUGGCGGGCCGUGGCCUCCACUGCGGGCUCUGCUCGUGUGUGCCCGCCAGAGAACCAAACUCUGAAUGUUAGUGAUGUCUGAGUACUAUCUAAUAGUUAAAACUUUCAACAACGGAUCUCUUGGUUCUGGCAUCGAUGAAGAACGCAGCGAAAUGCGAUAAGUAAUGUGAAUUGCAGAAUUCAGUGAAUCAUCGAAUCUUUGAACGCACAUUGCGCCCUGUGGUAUUCCGCAGGGCAUGCCUGUUCGAGCGUCAUUUAACCACUCACGCCUAGCGUGGUAUUGGGGCACGCGGUCUCCGCGGCCCUCAAAAUUAGUGGCGGCGCCGGUGGGCUCUAAGCGUAGUACAUACUCCCGCUAUAGAGUUCCCCCGGUGGCUCGCCAGAACCCCCAAUUUUUACAGGUUGACCUCGGAUCAGGUAGGGAUACCCGCUGAACUUAAGCAUAUCAAUAAGCGGAGGAAAAGAAACCAACAGGGAUUACCUCAGUAACGGCGAGUGAAGCGGUAACAGCUCAAAUUUGAAAGCUGCCAACAGGCCGCGUUGUAAUUUGUAGAAGCUGCUUUGGGUGUCGGCCCGGUCUAAGUUCCUUGGAACAGGACGUCAUAGAGGGUGAGAAUCCCGUAUGUGAUCGGUGCCGUUGCCCGUGUAAAGCGCUUUCGACGAGUCGAGUUGUUUGGGAAUGCAGCUCAAAAUGGGUGGUAAAUUUCAUCUAAAGCUAAAUAUUGGCCAGAGACCGAUAGCGCACAAGUAGAGUGAUCGAAAGAUGAAAAGCACUUUGGAAAGAGAGUUAAACAGUACGUGAAAUUGUUGAAAGGGAAGCGCUUGCAACCAGACUUGCGGGCGGUCGAUCAUCCGAGGUUCUCCCCGGUGCACUCGAUCGUUCUCAGGCCAGCAUCGGUUUCCGGGGUGGGAUAAAGGCGGUGGGAAUGUGGCUCUUCGGAGUGUUAUAGCCCACCGUGCAAUGCCGCCACUGGGGACCGAGGACCGCGCUUCGGCUAGGA
rnacentral:rRNA from 1 species